rnacentral:rRNA from 1 species
UACGUAGGGGGCAAGCGUUGUCCGGAAUCAUUGGGCGUAAAGCGCGUGUAGGCGGCUUCGUCAGUCCGUUGUGAAAGUCCAGGGCUCAACCCUGGAAUGCCGAUGGAUACUGCGGAGCUAGAGUACGGAAGAGGCGAGUGGAAUUCCUGGUGUAGCGGUGAAAUGCGCAGAUAUCAGGAGGAACACCAAUGGCGAAGGCAGCUCGCUGGGACGUUACUGACGCUGAGACGCGAAAGCUAGGGGAGCAAACGGG